GGAUUUAGCUUAGUUGGUUAAAGCGCCAGUUUGUGGCACUGGAGACCGUCAGUUCGAAUCUGACAUU
rnacentral:tRNA from 1 species